rnacentral:tRNA from 2 species
ACUCCUUCAGUUUCUG